rnacentral:rRNA from 1 species
UACGUAGGGGGCAAGCGUUGUUCGGAAUUACUGGGCGUAAAGGGCGCGUAGGCGGCACAGCAAGUCGGGAGUGAAAGCCCGGGGCUCAACCCCGGAAUGGCUUUCGAAACUGCUGAGCUAGAGUACAGAAGGGGCAACCGGAAUUCCCAGUGUAGCGGUGAAAUGCGUAGAUAUUGGGAGGAACACCAAUGGCUAAAGCAGGCACCUGGGCCUUUACUGUCGCUGAGGCGCGAAAGCUAGGGGAGCAAACAGG